CAAAAAGGGAAUGCGUCGGACUGGAAUGACAAAGUGAGGAUUCCGUGGAUUACAUUUGACUUAAUGAUGACACCAUUCAGCGGAGCUAAUAUGGAAGAAAACACAAGGCAACUGUAAGGAUACCAAAUAAGGAGAGAUUUCAGAUAGAGGAGUACAGAGAAGUGCCUUGCAACACUAAUAAGGUAAAUUGUUUAUUAUAAAAGUAGCAGCUGCCAUUGAACCUUGUAAGUGCAAAGUCACUUGGGGAUGCUUCUUGCAUAGCUGGGACGUUGUCUGCAGUCUCUCAAUGUUCUCAAACUUGACAGGAGAUCUCCUGCUUUGACUGUGCUUUUAAACUCUUAGACAACAAAAGUCGUCAAGUUGUCAGUCAGUUCACACUUUGAAUAACUUUGUACUAAAAAAAUUGUACUAUUGUUCUCUUCAAUAUUUUCAGUGACUGUAUCCCUACCAUUUCAGUCAGUUUUAUUUGUAUAGAAAAUAUAAAUGUAAACCACUGACUGAUUAGUGUGUUUACUGAUGAUUUACUUUAAUUAUUAAUGGUCGUCAUUGUCCUUAUAAAUUGUAUUAUUAUUAUUAUUGUUUUGAAACUGUUUGUAUUGAAACGGAACGGUGCAGAUCCGGCCCCAUUACAGCCAAGGUGAGUAAUGCUGUGCACAGCAAUUUCAUAUCAUCCAGCCCUACUGCUGACUAGUCCAUAUUUGCUGCAUUUGCUGUGGCUGUGGAUGCCCUGUUUUUAAUGAGAGGCUGGAAUAUGCAAUGAGGGACACAUAAGAUGUCUUUCUGAGAUAACAUGAUAACAAUAUUCUCCAUGAAGAGAUUUCAAGCCAUCCUCUAUCACUGCCAAACACAAAGUGUAGCCUACAUAAUAAAUUAUAUAGGAAAAGUACUGUCUUUAACAUCAACACAACCUAGAUAGCACAUACAUAUACACAUACCAUAUAUACAGACAGGUAGUUUAGAUUAAACUGCAGAGAUGCACUUAAAAUAAAUUCCAUAAUUUUUCUAAUGAUGUAGCAGCGCCCUCCAAUGUGCAGUGAGAGUCAUUACAGAACUCAGAAACAUGCACCUGUCAUAUAACACGUAUACUAUAUUGCCAAAAGUUUUGGGACGCCUGCUUUUACGUGCACAUGAACUUUAAUGACAUCCCAUUCUUAAUCCGUAGGGUUUAAUACGGAGUUGGCCUACCCUUUGAAGCUAUAACAGCUUCAACUCUUCUGGGAAGGGCUUUCCACAAGGUUUAAGAGUGUGUUUAUGGGAAUUUUUGACCAUUCUUCUAGAAGCGCAUUUGUGAGGUCAGGCAGUGAUGUUGGGCGAGAAGGUCUGGCUCCCAGUCUCUGCUCUAAUUCAUCCCAAAGGUGUUCUAUCGGGUUGAGGUCAGGACUCUGUGCAGGCCAGUCAAGUUCCUCCACACCGUCACUCCAGAAAGCACGUCUCCACUGCUCUAGAGUCCAGUGGCGGCGUGCUUUACACCACUGCAUCCGACGCUUUGCAUUGCACUUGGUGAUGUAAGGCUUGGAUGCAGCUGCUCAGCCAUGGAAACCCAUUUUAUGAAGCUCUCUACGCACUGUUCUUGAGCUAAUCUGAAGGCCACACGAAGUUUGGAGGUCUGUAGCUAUUAACUCUGCAGAAAGUUGGCGACUUCUGCGCACUGUGCACCUCAGCAUGCGCUGACCCCGCUCUGUGAUUUUACGUGGCCUACCACUUCAUGGCUGAGUUGCUGUUGUUCCCAAUUGCUUCCACUUUGUUAUGAUACCACUAACAGUUGACCGUGGAAUAUUUAGUAGUGAGGAAAUUUCACGAAUGGACUUAUUGCACAGGUGGCAACCUAUCACGAUACCACGCAUGAAUUCACUGAGCUCCUGAGAGCGACCCAUUCUUUCACAAAUGUUUGUAGAAGCAGUCUACAUACCUAGGUGCUUGAUUUUAUACACCUGUGGCCAUGGAAGUGACUGGAACACCUGAAUUCAAUGAUUUGGAGGGGUGUCCCAAUACUUUUGGCAAUAUAGUGUAUAACCUGUUGAAACCACUUUAUACUGGCAAGUAUAUUAAGUCAGUAGUUUAAAAUCAAAACAUAGUAAUCAAAAAUCUGCACAACUAUACUAGGUAGUGUAUAUAUAUAUAUAUAUGUAUAUGUACAGGGCCGGCCCAAGCUUUUAUGGGGCUCUAAGCAGAAUUUUAUCUGCGGGCCCCUCAGUUAAAAUAACUUAAGAUAAACAGUAUCUUCUUAUAUAAAAAAUUAAUGUGAAUGUACAAAAUGGACAAUAUUAAAUUAAAUACUUAAAUAAUUACAUAAAAUGAACAGUUCAGAUGGACAUGUAGGAAGAUAACAGUAAUAAAUGUAUUAACAUUAAAGGAAUAGUUCACCCAAAAAUGAAAAUUCAUCAUUUACUCGCUCUCAAGUUGUUUUAAACCUGAAUGAAUUUCUUUCGUCUACUGAAUGCAAAAUAAGAUAUUUUGAAGAAUGUGGGUUGCUAGUCACCAACUCUUUGGUUACCAACAUUCUUCAAAAUAGAAGUGGCGCCGGGGCCCUAAGCAGCCCUAAGCAGCUGCUUAGUUCGCUUAUAGGGAGGGCCGCCUCUGUAUAUAGCUAUAUAUAUAUUUACAUACAUACAGUUAAAACACACAGGGGCGUGAAAAUACACAUAAAUGUAAUUUUUUAUAUAAUGUAGUUAUACUGUAUGUAUAGUUUAUGUUUAGACUUAGUUAACCUUAACCCUUAACUGUCUGCUAGUAAAGGACAUGGAGGAGGUGUCAUUGCUAUAGGUUACAAGAAAGAGUGUUAACGUUGCAUGUGUUUAUAUAUAUAUAUAUAUUUCUUUGCAUGUCAUUUGUCAUUUGUAAACCAUUUGUCUUUCUUUCCUUUUUAGGUCAAGAUCUUUUUCCAUCAUAAGCAUUUUGUAUUCAUGGUAAGAGGAAGGAUAUUAUGUUAAGUCUGAGUAUAGUCUUUGGUGAUUCACUACUUCCACAUUUUCUGUCACAUUCUCAUGUUUUAUUUUGAAUUUGAGGCCAACUCUUGCAACUAAGAAACUUUUGCUGCUUAGUUUCUCACGACACUUCUCCAAAACUCUGAUAUCAUCUUCUAGUGUACAACAACACAUGGUUGUUCUUAGGAAAGUUCUCAGCAGUGUAAUUUUAGUUAUUUCCUGUCAAUAAUUUCAGUGCUUACUUAAACUUAUUUCAGUUUAUUCCCAAGGCAAUAUUUCUUCUAAUCUUCUAAUUUUCUUUAAGUUUUUCAGCUAAUAUUUAUAUUUGAUUUUAUUUCAGCUUAUUUCCAUUAGCACAAAUGUUUUUUAAGGCGAGACACCCCAGGUGAAUAGGGUAAAAAAAAUAACUAAUAGAUAUCACCAUACUUCCCCAGCUGAUUGAUUACAUUAAAAAUUGCAAACAUU